CAUGCAAGAGUUGCAUGUAAUUUGCCUAUUUAAGAAGGCUUUUGUUCAAACAUCAAGAUCGCUUGGAACCUUUGGCCAUUUGAUGUGUUUCCAAAAAGCUUACAUAACUCUUUUUAGCUCCACUUUUCUCUAAUUUUUUCCUUCUCUAAAAAGAGUCACACCACUCUAUUCCAAGCCUUGAGAAUAGCUAUUUUGAAAAGCUACAAAGAUUUCUAGAGAUCUUGUUAGAUUGAUCAUUCUGUCGAGUGUAAUUGGAAUUACCUUGUUGAAGAGAGGAAUUUGGUUUAUCGGUCCCAACAAUUCUAAAAAGUAAGUCCAAGUCAUACUUGUUGAUGCAGAAAUUUGGCUUCUUAGAAUUCUGUCAAAUUCGCACCAAUUCUUCUAGAAUAAAUGGAUUGACGAGACCUGCAAAAUAGAAUAGCACUAAGAUUGAUGUGGCUCUUUCUACACAGGUUCUGAUACUUAAGUUAAGAUCGGAGUAGUUGAGUAUAAAGUGUAAGGUAUUGUGACAUACGCUUACCCUCCUAUUUAUAGAGGUUGAAUCCUAAUCCCUUGAGGAUUUACAUCAGUAGAAUCCUAAUGUAAUCAGGAGAUCUAGAUGGAGUGGACCUCAUGCUGCAUUGAGGGUCGAGACCAAGUUAACUCGGAUCGGGCUGUGCGAGGGUUGGGGAGAAUUGAUGAAGCUCUCGGCCAUCGAGCUAAGAACUCCUCGACGUCGAGAAGGCCUUGGUGCCGAGGUCAAGUCAACAUCAAGCAGUGUUCGGCGCCGACCCCGAGUCAACUAUGGCCGACUUGGGUUGCCGGGCCCCAAUCCACUUACCUUGCUUCCCGGUUUCGCUCCUUCUUUGGCUCCUUUUCGGUUGCUUAGUCUGAUCUCUAUUUUCUUCCUAUAACAAUGUAAUUACACUUUAUGCGAUCAUGGCAAUUUUUCCC